rnacentral:rRNA from 1 species
GAUGAACGCUGGCGGCGUGCUUAACACAUGCAAGUCGAACGAUUAACCCAUCUUCGGAUGGUUAUAGAGUGGCGAACGGGUGAGUAACACGUGACCAACCUACCUUCUACAUUGGGAUAACUCAGAGAAAUUUGAGCUAAUACCAAAUACUCCGGUACCUUCGCAUGUUGGUUCCGGGAAAGCUCCGGCGGUAGAAGAUGGGGUCGCGGCCUAUUAGAUAGUUGGUGGGGUAACGGCCUACCAAGUCAGCGAUAGGUAGCCGGGUUGAGAGACUGAUCGGCCACAUUGGGACUGAGAUACGGCCCAAACUCCUACGGGAGGCAGCAGUGGGGAAUUUUGCGCAAUGGGCGAAAGCCUGACGCAGCAACGCCGCGUGCGGGAUGACGGCCUUCGGGUUGUAAACCGCUUUCAGCAGGGAAGAAUUUUGACGGUACCUGCAGAAGAAGCUCCGGCUAACUACGUGCCAGCAGCCGCGGUAAUACGUAGGGAGCAAGCGUUAUCCGGAUUUAUUGGGCGUAAAGCGCGCGUAGGCGGUUUGUUAAGCGGAAUCUCUAAUCUGAGGGCUCAACCCCCAGCCGGAUUCCGAACUGGCAGACUUGAGUUUGGUAGAGGAAGAUGGAAUUCCCAGUGUAGCGGUGAAAUGCGCAGAUAUUGGGAAGAACACCGAUGGCGAAGGCAGUCUUCUGGGCCAUAACUGACGCUGAGGUGCGAAAGCUAGGGGAGCAAACAGGAUUAGAUACCCUGGUAGUCCUAGCCGUAAACGAUGGGCACUAGGUGUGGGGAGGAAUACCUUUCCGUGCCGCAGCUAACGCAUUAAGUGCCCCGCCUGGGGAGUACGGCCGCAAGGCUA